rnacentral:rRNA from 1 species
UGGGGGAUAUUGCACAAUGGAGGAAACUCUGAUGCAGCGACGCCGCGUGAGGGAAGAAGGUCUUCGGAUUGUAAACCUCUGUCUUUGGGGACGAAGAAAGUGACGGUACCCAAAGAGGAAGCCACGGCUAACUACGUGCCAGCAGCCGCGGUAAUACGUAGGUGGCGAGCGUUGUCCGGAAUUACUGGGUGUAAAGGGUGCGUAGGCGGACUGGCAAGUUGGGUGUGAAAUCUCCGCGCUUAACGCGGAGGUUGCAUUCAAAACUGCUGGUCUUGAGUGAGGCAGAGGCAGGCGGAAUUCCCGGUGUAGCGGUGAAAUGCGUAGAGAUCGGGAGGAACACCAGUGGCGAAGGCGGCCUGCUGGGCCUUAACUGACGCUGAGGCACGAAAGCAUGGGUAGCAAACAGGA